rnacentral:rRNA from 1 species
GGAAGGGGUGUAUUUAUUAGAUAAAAAACCAAUGCCCUUCGGGGCUCCUUGGUGAUUCAUGAUAACUUAACGAAUCGCAUGGCCUUGCGCCGGCGAUGGUUCAUUCAAAUUUCUGCCCUAUCAACUUUCGAUGGUAGGGUAGUGGCCUACCAUGGUAUCAACGGGUAACGGGGAAUUAGGGUUCUAUUCCGGAGAGGGAGCCUGAGAAACGGCUACCACAUCCAAGGAAGGCAGCAGGCGCGCAAAUUACCCAAUCCCGACACGGGGAGGUAGUGACAAUAAAUACUGAUACAGGGCUCUUUUGGGUCUUGUAAUUGGAAUGAGUACAAUUUAAAUACCUUAACGAGGAACAAUUGGAGGGCAAGUCUGGUGCCGGCAGCCGCGGUAAUUCCAGCUCCAAUAGCGUAUAUUAAAGUUGUUGCAGUUAAAAAGCUCGUAGUUGAACCUUGGGCCUGGCUGGCCGGUCCGCCUCACCGCGUGUACUGGUCCGGCCGGGCCUUUCCUUCUGGGGAUCCGCAUGCCCUUCACUGGGUGUGUCGGGGAACCAGGACUUUUAC